GAUGAACGCUGGCGGCGUGCCUAAUACAUGCAAGUCGAGCGAACAGAUGAGGAGCUUGCUCCUCUGACGUUAGCGGCGGACGGGUGAGUAACACGUGGAUAACCUACCUAUAAGACUGGGAUAACUUCGGGAAACCGGAGCUAAUACCGGAUAAUAUAUUGAACCGCAUGGUUCAAUAGUGAAAGACGGUUUUGCUGUCACUUAUAGAUGGAUCCGCGCCGCAUUAGCUAGUUGGUAAGGUAACGGCUUACCAAGGCAACGAUGCGUAGCCGACCUGAGAGGGUGAUCGGCCACCAGGGAACUGAGACCCGGCCCAGCCUCCUAGGGGGGGCCGCAGUAGGGAAUUUUCCGAAAGGGGCGAAAGCCUGACGGAGCAACGCCGCGUGAGUGAUGAAGGUCUUCGGAUCGUAAAACUCUUUUUUUAGGGAAAAAAAAAUGUGUAAGUAACUAUGCCCGUCUUGACGGUACCUAAUCAGAAAGCCACGGCAAACUCCGU
rnacentral:rRNA from 1 species